rnacentral:lncRNA from 1 species
ACAAAGCAACCACAAAAAGGUGAAAAAGGAUAGUAAUAGUAAAAAAUCUUUAAAAAAGGGUGAGUAAACCAAAGUUAAUCUUUUUUUGCAAGCUUGAAUCUAAACCAUCUCAAAAGAUCAACCAAGAACAAGCAAUCAUUUUUAAUAAUAAAAAAAAAAGGAACAAAAAGUUAAAAAGUUUAAGUUAAAAUCAUUACCCACAAAAUAUGAA